UUGAAGACGCCCCUGUUAGAGGUACAGGUGGAAAAUGUUAUAUUGUGUUGAAGACGCCCCUGUUAGAGGUACAGGUGGAAAAUGUUAUAUUGUGUUGAAGACGCCCCUGUUAGAGGUACAGGUGGAAAAUGUGUUAUAUUGUGUUGAAGAUGGGCAUAAUGUGAGAUGCCGCCCCUGUCAGAGUUACAGGUGGAAAUGAAUGAUGUGUUUUAGUGAGUCCGUACGGAGAAGCCACUAAGGUGGUGAUUCUACCCCUCAAGUAUUUCCAAGGCGAUAACUCUGGCUCAUUCGUCGCCACUGCAGGGCACGGAGGAACCAAAGUUACGUUAUGUCGGUGUAGAAAGUUCGCUUUCUGGCCUGGAAUGAAACGGGAUGUAGAGAAUUAUGUAAGGAAGUGCGUCAUGGUAGUCGUUUUAAAAGUGAGUUGGGAACUUGCACCCUGCUCCUUGGCGGCAAUAUCCAGACGUCACCGCUCCUUUUGGAAGAAUACACAUGGACCUUGUGGGUCCCAUGGGUGUAUCGGACAAUGGGGUUCGAUACGUAAUGCCCAUAGUUGAUGUUUUUAAAAGGUAUUUGAUUAUAGUACCCUUACGGAGUAAGGAAGCCCGCGAAAUGGCAAGGGCGUUGUACGUGGAUGUUGUUUGUGUACACGGUGUUCCUCAGACAGUUGUUACAGAUCAAGGUUCAGAGUUCGUUAAUUCCGUGAUGCAGGAGAUAAAUUGGAAGCUGCCUGUGCCACACGCGAAUAACGGCUUACCAUACAAGUGGGAAUGGAAUAAUAAAGCGCGCAGAUUAUACUGUUGUUAACAUUUUGAGGAGAACUGUUCUAGGAAGUGUGUCCGUUUGGGAGAUAAUGUUACUUAGUUACAGUCACCCUGGGCUAUAAUGCUGCGUAUCAUCGCACCAUAAAGGAGUCCCCAUUUUAUCGAGAGAGACAGAGAGAGAGGAUUUUUAGAGAUCCUCCUGUACCCAACACUAUGUUAGAAAAACUUUCAGCAGCCCUGGUAUGAUACUGACUCCUACAAAGAGGAAAUGGCUGUAAUGCAAGGAAAGUUUAUGAUAUUUACUCCUACAAAGAGGAAAUGGUUGUAAUGCAAGGAAAGUUUAUGAUAUUUACUCCUACAAAGAGGAAAUGGCUGUAAUGCAAGGAACGUUUAUGAUAUUUACUCCUACAAAGAGGAAAUGGU